GCCCGGUUAGCUCAGCCGGAAGAGCGCGGGACUUUUAAUCCUGAGGUCGAGUGUUCAAGUCCCUCAUCGGGGG
rfam:Daphnia magna strain Xinb3 scaffold02931, whole genome shotgun sequence.